AGCAGUACACAUUGUGUUAAGGAGAUGCUAACAUAGGGAGACUCGCCUAAUAAUAAAACAAGAAAUUCGUGUAUAUGCUGUCACGAAGCCAGGCAUUACUGAUUUUACGCGAGGUGCAAAGAGCCGAGUAGACGACGCGAGCGCUGGAUCAAUGGCGAACCGCACUGGAGUCGCGUGAUGGACGCGGCCAAUCGCAGACCCCAGCACGACCUUCAAUCAUUUGCUCCUUGUGUGCUUGUUUCUGUAUGCAGGAGAUAGCUGAAGCAGCAAAUUUGAAGAUGGAGAAAUGCGCUUUCCAAUGAGACCAAGAUGGAAACGUUUGGUUGCGCCGUUCGAGAUAUAUUGUGGCUUGAAAGACUCUGUUCUUUCUUGAUUUCCGUGAAAUUUGUUGCCACCUUGGCUGAUAAAACAAAUUCUUAGAGCACUUCUACGUGGUUUAUAGCGAUGAUAUGUCGGAAUCAGAUAGAAAAAGAGUUAUAGAAACUGAAAACGUGAUUUAAAAAAAAAAUGAUUCUUUUGACAUUUUUCGCGAUGCGAAAGCCGCGUCCCCCCCCCCCCCCCCUUAACGCUUCCCCUGAGCACACACCUUUGUAAGGAUACAUAAGCACUUUGUUAACCAUGAUUUACCUUUUAACACAGGACAUAAACAGCAGCAAUCUUAGAACAGCAAGAACAGAUAAGCAACACGUUUGUUUUAGAUUACAGUGUCUUUUCCAGUGACUCUGCUGUUGCAGAUAUUGCCAGCUUCAAGAACUUUUUUUUAUAAACUUGCUCAACUCAAGUACUCGUCUGGCGUCAUUUCACCAUCCGAAGACUCCCAAUGGUAGAGUUUGGAGACCAACAAGUUAGACGUUGUCAUGAAAAUAAUUUAUUUUUCAGAAGACUUCGUGCAAAGUUAGUAAAUCAUAAAAUGAAGCCAAAUUUGUAAACAGUAGGGAAAAUUUAGGAGUUAGCAAGUGUGUAAUUGAAUUAGACCUACCACUUUAACUGCUACAGCCAAUCCAGGCAUGGGGCUGGGAGGCUGUCGUAACGAGGAUUGCAAUGCGAAUACACUGAAGCGCAACACUACUGGUGCUCCAGUGUAGUAUCUUUCAAGACUGUAUACAUUUAAUGUGAUGGAAAAAUGUUGGUUAUUAGCAGAGAAUGACUACAAGGUUUCUUUCUAAAUUUCUUGCUUUACCUGCAGCUCAGUAACGUUACUAGUACAUAUUGAAUCCCAAAGUAUUUGUGCAUAUGUCCAGGCCAUCCUUAUUCAUAAAAGUUCUCAAAACUCAUUAGGCUGAGUUUUUUGAUCCGUUAGAAUGAAAUGUAAUUCUUGUUUAUCUAUAAACUAUCAAGCUGCCCCAACACCGACUGCCAUGGUGGUUUAGAAACAUUGGCAUUGCGCUGGUAGGCCCGAAGGCGUGGAAUCAAAUCCCAGCCAUGACGGCUGCAUUUUGAUGGGGCCGAAAAGCAAAAACACCCAUGUAUCGUGCACUGGGUGCAUCUUGAAGAACCCCAGAUAGUCAAAAUUAAUCUGGUGUCCCCCACUACGGCAUGCCUCAUAAUCGUAUCAUGGUUUUGGCACAUAAAACCCCAGAUUUUAAUAUCUUUUUGAAGAACUAGUGCAGGAAUUUCAAGCCAGUCUUUGGUCUUUGUCUUUUCUGGCUAACGAAGACUGCUCACGGUAAGACUGACAUUUCUGGUUUUCCAGAACUGUCAUUUACUAGGGGUGAGAAAUGUUUGAAAUUUCAAAUACGGAUCGAAGAGCCACUGCUAUUUGAUUGAUAUUUGAUUAUAUAAUUCACUAUUUAAAAUUCUAAAAUAUUCAUUUUUUUCUUCUAAUAUUGGAGCCUUGAGUGAGAGAAGUGGUGUGCGAGGACUGUUCUGAAUGAUUCCAUGGUAGGAGAGCUGUGGCCGCUGCAUGCACACAUCAGUGCCUGAGCAAGCGCACGAGGCAGAUAACCUAGUCUCCGCUUGCCGUAAUCUCGACGUGUCAAAACAGGCGCUACGCGGACGUUGCAGUAGCAUGGCCGAUCCCUACAUCUGUGGACGUCUCGGACCCGCGGCUAAGCAUUCCGAGCAUCGGCGACGCGGACUUCACGACCGUGAUUCGCGCGCGGAAUCCUCGGACAUGCGGCUAAGCCUUUCAGCACUCGGUGUUUGCUCUCUCCCAUGUCUACGCCGGCUCUCGACGCAUCCACAGCGUGUGAACGUGACAAUUGUUCUACUGGGUUCUUUCUGGAAGCAAGGAGAACACUGUUUUUCUAUGACUCCCAUGCAUCUUCGUUGUGUUGGACAAAAGGCAAGUUGAACCACUUUUUGGCAUUUUCAGAAAGGUAGGCUCGCAUGUUGAAUAUUCUGUCGGGGUCUCUGUACCAAUGGUUCUGUUCACAUGCGUAUUCAAAUACGUUCCACCAACCGUAUACACUGGAUGAACUACCGUCGAACAUGUCCGGACUUACUGCUAUGCAAUUAGCCCUGUCCAAUGCAAUUAUCGUCAGCAAUGCUUGUUGCUGCUCUAGUUGUUACUUUGCAACUGAGCCAACUGGGUUAACGCAUUUGACAAGCUUGACAUUUCUGUGCUUGCAUCAUUAUGGCUUGAAACAAACUCCUUAUCAACAUUUUGUUUAUUCCAGGUUUCAAAAUCUGAGAGGUAUGUUGAGCUUCACACACCUGUAGUGAUGACAUCGUUGAUCAGAUGUUUGGAAUUGGCGGCGAUGGCUUCAGGGCUACCAGGGCUAGUCAUCUCUUUCAGUGCAGCAACGAUGUCCUCACCGUCCAGCUCAUAGCCUGCAAUCAGUAGAUGGCUGUCUCACUCUGCGAGGUAGAAGGUUACCCACAUCUAGUUACUGUCAUCGGCUGUGCCAAAUAUAAAGUACCGGUGAAAA
rnacentral:lncRNA from 1 species